rnacentral:SRP_RNA from 1 species
CCGUGCUGGGUGGGGAGCUAGCGGUGCCCUGUACCCGCAAUCCGCUCUAGCGGGACCGAUCCCCGCCCGCGGCACGCAUGGUCCGGGAACGCCCCGGGAACGGCAGCGUUGAAGGCCGGGUCCCGCGCGACGCCAACCUGCGAACCCCGUCAGGACCGGAAGGUAGCAGCGGUAAGCGGGCGGUGGCGGGUGCCGCGGGGUCGCCUGACCGGAGCUGGCGGCCCGUCGAGCGACCGAGUCGUGCGGUGUCAACGGCGGGUGCGCGG